rnacentral:rRNA from 1 species
UACAGAGGUCCCAAGCGUUGUUCGGAUUCACUGGGCGUAAAGGGUGCGUAGGUGGUGAGGUAAGUCGGAUGUGAAAUCUCCGAGCUCAACUCGGAAACUGCAUUGGAAACUACCUUGCUCGAGGGUUGGAGGGGACUGGAAUGCUUUUGGUGUAGCAGUGAAAAUGCGUAGAUAUCAAGCGGAACACCAGUGGCGAAGGCGAGUCCCCUGGACAACUCCUGACACUGAUGCACGAAAGCUAGGGAGCAAAACAGG